rnacentral:tRNA from 1 species
UUAAGAAGGUGAUAGAGUGGUUAUAUAGCUGGCUUGAAACCAGUAAAUGUGGGUUCGAGUCCUACCCUUUUUG